CCUAAUUAACUUUGAUCUUAAUUGAAAUUGCUUGCUCAAUUCAUGAUCAGAGUUAAGAUCUGUUAUCAUCUUAUCCUAAUCUUUCUCUUGAGUUAAAAGAAUUUGAAAAAAAUUUGUCGAAACUGUUUCUGGGGCUUACUGCUUAAAAUUGAUUUGUCUCUUAACUUGUAAUCUCGAUCGACAAUUGAACAUAAGAUUCGUGAUUAUAGCAUCUUAAUCCUUAUUACCCGUUGAAUUGAUUUGAAUAUUUUACUUACUUUUGAUUUUCAAUCUGCUCUCAUAUGUAGUCAUAUGUAGUCAUGUUCAAUUGCUUUAGAACUGUAUUAUAUAUGUUGGUGAUGUUAAGAGGGUAUAUGAACUGUUACAGGUGUGCAGAUUGUUGGUGGUAUUGAAAUGGAGUGAGGUUACCGUUUAGGAGAUGUUAGUGUUGGGAGUUCAAGGUGGUUGCGUUGUUCAAGAUGAGAUGUUGAACCUCAGAUCUGGAAGGUGAAUCAUAUAGUGGUGGUUUGAGUCUUAACAGGGGUUGAGCUGAAUGCAGGUUGGAAUUGGUAGUGAAUGUGAAGAAUUUUGCUAUAGUUACUGGUGCAGGCAGUGUGUGUAUAAGAUAUGGAAUUGAUUAGUUGCAAAUGAAGGCUGAGUUGGUAUCGCAGUUGAAGUAAGUGGCAUGACUUGUUUGAAAUACAACGACAAACAAAGUAUGAUUACAGGAUAUAACUUAUAUACUUCUGAUUGACAACUUCAAUUUUGAUUAUGAUUUAUAUCCUCAACGAGUAAUCCAUUAUAGUGGUGAUGAAGUUGUUGGUGAGAAGAUCCACUGAGUAGAGGUUGUACUAAUGGAGAUGGUAUCUACCUUACUGCAAUCGUUUCUAUGCCAACAAACCUGAACAUGCUGCUCAUGUAAAUUAGCUGAUUUCAGUUAUUGAAUUGCCGAGUGUUGAAUUUGUAGAGUCUAUAACUGUGUAGCAACGUGUAUGGGUAUAUAGCAGCCAUGGAUUUGACACGAUCCAUCUCCUGAAAGGCAGUUUGCAAAGAUGACAGAUUCAUCAGGAAAAUUUUGGCUAGUGGGAGGAUGGGAUAUGACUAUAAAGCCGUCAAGAGAUGGACUACCCAAAGGAAGAUUGGAUACGGUCUUCUGAGUGUGACAAAAUAUUUGUCCCCAUACACCAACAAUUACACUGGUGCUUAGCAGUGAUCAAUAAGAAGGAAGAGAAGCUCUAAUAUCUUGAUUCUCUUGAAGGCGUCGAUAUUGAUGUCUUGGAAAAUCUGAUAUGAACCAGGACACUGCAGAGAACAAUUCUGACUUAAUAGUAGAUACAAUGGCGUGCGCUUGAUGAGAUUAAUACCAGAGUUUAUAAUGGACGUGUGCGUGAUUCUAACUUGGCAAGCUAAGAUUGAUCUGUUUUUUACAUAUCAAUUGGUGAGUGUGUUAACUUGGAAAGCUAAAAGUAUGUGUAGCUACUAGUUACACAUGCUAAUUAGAUGUGUAACUUUUAGGUACACCAGCUAAAUGGAUGUGUAGCUACUAGUUACACAUGAUAACUGAUAGACAUUGAAAAGCUUCAAGAUGCAGGAAUUUACACCUGCAAUAGAUUGACGAUGCAUGCCAAAAAAGUUAAACUCACUUUUUGAUUUUGGAUCUUAAGUUCUUGAGAAUGUCACGAUUUUGUCAAAAUUUUAAUUGAUUUCUUUUCUUUUUUGUGGAGUUUAACUGGUAUUUAAAGGAUUAUUAAAAGCCAAAGUUGAUAGAAUCUGUGAAGCAGCCGAGAAAACAGUUAUAUGCAAGCAUUUUGGAGGGAGACAAGAAGGAAAGGCAAAGAU